UACAGAGACUGCAAGCGUUAUUCGGAUUCACUGGGCGUAAAGGGUGCGCAGGCGGUCGGGUGUGUCAGAUGUGAAAUCCCGAGGCUCAACCUCGGAACUGCGUCUGAAACUACUCGACUAGAGUACUGGAGAGGGUAACGGAAUUCACGGUGUAGCAGUGAAAUGCGUAGAUAUCGUAAGGAAGACCAGUGGCGAAGGCGGGUCUCUGGACAGUUCCUGACGCUGAGGCACGAAGGCCAGGGGAGCAAACGGG
rnacentral:rRNA from 1 species